rnacentral:rRNA from 1 species
AAUUUUCGGCAAUGGGGGCAACCCUGACCGAGCAACGCCGCGUGCAGGAGGACGGUCUUCGGACUGUAAACUGCUUUUCCCAGGGACGAGCGCGGACGGUACCUGGGGAAGAAGCCCCGGCUCACUACGUGCCAGCAGCCGCGGUAAUACGUAGGGGGCGAGCGUUGUCCGGAGUUACUGGGCGUAAAGGGCCCGUAGGCGGUGCUUUCAGUUCCUGCUGACAGUCCUCAGCUUACCUGAGGAAGGUGUAGGAAGACGGGAGCACUUGAGGGCGGCAGAGGGAGACGGAAUUCCGGGUGGAGUGGUGAAAUGCGUAGAGAUCCGGAGGAACACCGAAGGCGCAGGCAGUCUCCUGGGCCGCAUCUGACGCUGAGGGGCGAAAGCCAGGGGAGCGAAC